rnacentral:rRNA from 1 species
UACGGCCAUAUCACGCUGAAACACCGAUUCACGUACAAACACCGAAGUUAAGCAUCGUCGAGCCUUGUCAGUAUCUAGAUGGGUGACCAUUUGUGAAUAUCUG